rnacentral:pre_miRNA from 1 species
CGGGGGAGGCCGGAUCCUGGGCUGUGUCCCGGCGCCCUGUGCUCCCGGCACCUGUGCUGUUGGAUUCGCGCUCCCGCCCCGCAGCCCCCU